rnacentral:lncRNA from 1 species
AACCUAAUUAACCAGGGUUUAAGGCUGUGAUCCCCCCAAGUUUGAACAUAGGCAAUGCAAUAUACUAAUUUCAUUACAAAUAAAAGAGAAAUGAUAUUUUUCCCAUAUUUGGUACACCACUAAAUGUACACUUUUUUUUCUUGUUAUAACAAACUUUUCAUCUAAAUCUUUUUCUAACUUAUCAUGAAACCACUCAUCCCAAAAAUUUAAGUCGAUAGAAAAAAAUAACAUAAAUAAUUAUAUCUCUAACACUCCCCUCAAACAAGAAUCUCUUUUGGAUUUGCUUAAUUUUUUAUAGGCUUUCUUUUUUCUUUUUAUUUACCUUAUGCUAUUUUUUUUACUUUCAUUUUUUUACUUUUAGAGUUCACUAAGAAUUAAACUCUAAUCCUUUUGGACCUAGACCUAUAAUACCAUAUCAUAAAACCACUCUCUCAAAAGCUUAACCUGAGAAGAAUACAACAUGAAUAAUUAUAUCUCUAAUAUAAUUUUUUGUCGAUCACUUUAAUAUUAAUGGAGAAGUGGUGCACAUAAGGUGUACAUAUAAAGUGGGGCAUAUACCAUUACUCCACAUUUUAGCAAACAUAACAACUGCUUUAAAAACAUUGUUAAUGUGGAAGCAAGGCUCAGCACAUGAUAAUCAAUAACAGGCCAGGAUCAUUACUUGUAAUAAGUAGCAACUGAAAUUUGAGCACAUAACAUAAAUAUGAGUUGUAGCCGAGAAAGAUUGCAGAGAGAACAGAUAUUUUUCACAUGGAAAUUGGAAAGGAAGAAGAAAGGCAUAGAAAGAGAUGUUACUUACCUUGGUUGGUUCAACACUCAACAAGUG